GCCCGCCUAGCUCAAUCGGAUAGAGCGUCAGACUCUUACUAGCGGGUGUAUCUGAAGGCUGCGAGUUCGACCCUCGCGGUGGGCU